UACGUAGGGUGCAGGCGUUAAUCGGAAUUACUGGGCGUAAAGCGUGCGCAGGCGGUUUGCUAAGAGAGAUGUGAAAUCCCCGGGCUUAACCUGGGAACUGCGUUUCUAACUGGCAGGCUUGAGUGUGGCAGAGGGGGGUGGAAUUCCACGUGUAGCAGUGAAAUGGGUAGAGAUGUGGAGGAACACCGAUGGCGAAGGCAGCCCCCUGGGCUAACACUGACGCUCAUGCACGAAAGCGUGGGGAGCAAACAGG
rnacentral:rRNA from 1 species